rnacentral:rRNA from 1 species
UACGAAGGGUGCAAGCGUUACUCGGAAUCACUGGGCGUAAAGCGUGCGUAGGCGGUUUCUUAAGUCUGUCGUGAAAGCCCUGGGCUCAACCUGGGAAUGGCGAUGGAUACUGGGAGGCUAGAGUGUGAUAGAGGAUGGUGGAAUUCCCGGUGUAGCGGUGAAAUUCGUAGAUAUCGAGAGGAACACCGGUGGCGAAGGCGGCCUUCUGGACAGUGACUGACGCUGAGACACGAAAGCGUGGGGAGCAAACAGG